rnacentral:snoRNA from 1 species
AGACCAUGGUGUGGAUAGCAUCUCAACAAGUGCUUAUACCUCUCCAAGGCGUCGUACAUGCUCUCGUUGUCUACCUGCACAAAAGAAGAAAUGUCAUUUCUCAAUCU